UUGCUCAUAGAAAUUGAUAAUAUACUAUUUUAUAUUCACUCGUUCAAGUGCUGAUCUAUUUUUAAAUUGAAUAUUUAUGUAAGUAUUAUGUAUAACACGAUAUAAAUAAUUUAAGGACAUAAGAAAUUAAAAUUUUAAUUAUAAUUUCAAUAAAUAUUAUUCUUAAUAACAAGAAUUGAGAUUUGGGGAUAAGUUUGAAAAGCCAUGUCAGAAGAGUAGGAUUAAAGACAAAGUAUUAAGAGUAAUUGGGCUGUUCCUGAACAAUAUUGAAUAUAAAUAUUCAAAAAUAUGAUAAACUGCAUAUCCUACUAAGUAGAUCAAUACCAAAAUUCCAUUAGAGAAAUAAGUUAAAAUUAUGUUUUACUUGUAUAAUUUUCUUGCUAUUUGUCCACCAUUAUUUGUGACUUAGAAAUUAAAUAGUCAAAAAGAA